rnacentral:rRNA from 1 species
UACGAAGGGUGCAAGCGUUACUCGGAAUUACUGGGCGUAAAGCGUGCGUAGGUGGUGAGUUAAGUCAGUCGUGAAAGCCCCGGGCUCAACCUGGGAAUGGCGAUGGAUACUGGCUCGCUAGAGUGCGGUAGAGGAGAGUGGAAUUCCCGGUGUAGCAGUGAAAUGCGUAGAGAUCGGGAGGAACAUCAGUUGCGAAGGCGGCUCUCUGGACCAGCACUGACACUGAGGCACGAAAGCGUGGGGAGCAAACAGG